rnacentral:snRNA from 1 species
UCUCCAAGGUGAACAGCCUCUGGU